UACAGAGGGUGCGAACGUUGCUCGGAAUUACUGGGCGUAAAGCGCGUGUAGGCGGGGUUGUAAGUCAGAUGUGAAAGCCCCGGGCUCAACCCGGGAACUGCAUCUGAAACUGCGAUCCUUGAGUGUCGGAGAGGGUAGCGGAAUUCCUGGUGUAGAGGUGAAAUUCGUAGAUAUCAGGAGGAACACCGGUGGCGAAGGCGGCUACCUGGACGACAACUGACGCUGAGACGCGAAAGCGUGGGGAGCAAACAGG
rnacentral:rRNA from 1 species